rnacentral:rRNA from 1 species
UACGUAGGGGGCAAGCGUUGUCCGGAAUCAUUGGGCGUAAAGCGCGCGUAGGUGGCCACAUAAGUCCGUUGUGAAAGUCAAAGGCUCAACCUUUGAAAGCCGAUGGAUACUGUGUGGCUAGAGUACGGAAGAGGCGAGUGGAAUUCCUGGUGUAGCGGUGGAAUGCGCAGAUAUCAGGAGGAACACCAAUAGCGAAGGCAGCUCGCUGGGACGUUACUGACACUGAGGCGCGAAAGCGUGGGGAGCGAACAGG